AAAGUCGUAACAAGGUUUCCGUAGGUGAACCUGCGGAAGGAUCAUUCAAGGAUUCAACUAUGAAAAGGAACGUAGAGGGGAGGCGAAAUAUUUGCUGACCCGAAACACCUUUUUAUAUUUUUACACCUAACCAAUCUUUUUGGUGGACAUGGCUUUUGGUACUGUGUGGUUAUACACGCAAUACCAUAGUUGUGAACCACCCUUAACACUUGGCUGAUAAACAGCAGUGUUGAUUUUACUUGUACAAGUAAAUCAAUACAGUUUGAUAUACUAAUACAAUACAACUUUCAACAAUGGAUCUCUUGGCUCUC
rnacentral:misc_RNA from 1 species